UUUAUUUGAUUUCCUUCGGGACUGAUUAUUUUGUGACUGAGUGGCGGACGGGUGAGUAACGCGUGGGUAACCUGCCUUGUACAGGGGGAUAACAGUUGGAAACGGCUGCUAAUACCGCAUAAGCGCACGGCAUCGCAUGAUGCAGUGUGAAAAACUCCGGUGGUACAAGAUGGACCCGCGUCUGAUUAGCUGGUUGGUGAGGUAACGGCCCACCUAGUCUUCGAUGGAUAGGGGUUCUGAGAGGAAGGUCCCCCACAUUGGAACUGAGACACGGUCCAAACUCC
rnacentral:rRNA from 1 species